rnacentral:lncRNA from 1 species
CGCGCGCUCCCGGACAGUUCUCCGCAGCCGCUCGCCCGAGCCUUCUACUUGGCCAACACAGCUGCCUCUACCACCUCGCGUGCCCGGUUCGUGGGCUUUCAGGCUUCUGGAAUCCAUUUUGUCCGUAGAGUGGAUAGAAGCCCCUGAAUCGUAUUUCUGGAGGCAGCCCUACCCAGCCACUGCCAGGAAAGAUCGUCUGCACUGCGUUCUGAGUGCUGUGAACCCCAGCAUGU